GUGUCAGUGUCAAGUGAACAAGAAAAGGGAGCAAAAAAGCAAAAAAAAACUAAUUGGUCUGUGAAUUCAAUUAUAAAGCAUUACAAAAGUGUACAUAAAAAAUAAAUAAAUCCUAUGAAUUUCCCUUUAUCGGUCGGGUGUCAAGUAUGAACUUUCAUAUUUCAUUCUUACAAUGAGUAGUCAUGAAUCAUAAUUGAUA